UUCUUCCCAGUCUCCACGGCUCCAGACGGCCGCUCAUCCCUGCUCCCCGUGUGUCCCUCGGUCCUCUCUGCAGCUCCCAGCCCUCAACUCCUUACCCCAGUUUGGGCAACCAGCUGCCCCGCUGUUUGGCCCAGGCCUGGGCCAUGGUGGGUGGGUGGGCGCCCGGGGCCGCGAGAAGGGCGGAACGCUGUGCCCAGCCGGAGACUACGCUGGGUGGCGGCGGCAGCGCCGGGAGUCUGCAGUGCGCGAGGGAGAAGUGAGCGCACAGCGCCCAGCGAGCAGGUGCCUGCGGCGCGGAGAGCGCACACGCUAGCCAGCCCGCAGCGGCCGAAAGUGACCACUGUUCCUGGAGGAUUUGCAUUGCUGGAGAAGUGCAUUCUAACAGUGGAAUUCAGGCGGCGAGAGUCGGUCAAUUCACCGUACCAUGUGGACUCCCCAAUGUGGAGCAGAAUCUGAGGACUGACUUGCUAAGAAUCUCUGGGCACCCUGGAUAGAACCUUCCCUUUGGCUCUGAGCAUGGUGGCUCACACCUGAGAUCCCAGCACUUCGGAAGGCCGAGGUGGGAGAAUUGCUUGAGGCCAGGAGUUCGAGACCAGCCUAGUUCCUGGAUGCAAACCUUGAGAAGUCAACUUGGAGAACGAGCUAAGUUUCCAUUGUCCAGAGCUCAGGUGCUGGGACAGGUGGCACCCAGAUCUUCCAGCCAUAUGUGGAGUGGCUGGUGGAGUCUUAUCUCUCUCUCCAGAGUGUGUCCCCGCAGUGGAGGCUGGCCUUUCAUCUCAGCACCAGGGUGCCCAGGGCCCAGUUGAUCCAGGAAGUUUGUUGAAUGAAUGAGUGAUUGGCACAUUCUGGGCAGGAGACUGUCUGGCCCAGAAGAAUGCCUGGUUUCCCUCAGGGCAGGGCACUCCCCUGUGCAGACAGGCGGGCAUGGAGCAGAAACAGCCAGGGUGGACGAGCUUUUCAGCAGCAUGAAGGCAACAGCCGAUUUGUUCACAGUCGAGAGUGAAGGAAUGAAUUUACGAGAACCUGCAUGAACUAUGUGAUCAUAGUGUUGGCGGUCAGACUGUGAGGCACAGGAAGAUGGAUCAGAGGGUCAAAGGGGCACCAUCUACAGCUCAUUUCCCCGUCCUCCAACCAAUGGGCCUGCCCCAGACCUGCUCCCCUGUCCCUGGGGAGGAGGAGGAGGAUAUUCCAGACUCACGGACCUGAGCCUCUCUGGGCAUAUGUCCAGUCUCUGUCCUGCAGAGAUGCCUUGGGCCUCCCAUUGCAACAGCAUCCUUCCCCUGAUGUGGGAAAGAAUUUCCUAAUCGCCCUCACCUCUGGCUUCAGGUCCAUGCAACACAAGCCCUGUUUCGGGCCUCCUGUGUUCAGGCUCCUGAGCACGGCUUCCCUUUUUGAAACCAGGGAGGCUGGUGUUGCCUGCAGAAGCAUCUUGUGAGUUGUGGGAGGGGCCACAUGGAAGGCCAGACAUGGGAGUGAAGUGUGAAGCACCAGCCUUCCUGACUUCCAGACCCAGGUCAGCCUCCCGCCUCUCCUCCUGCUGAAUCUUUCUGAUCCUGUGGUUUCUCCUCUCUGAAACGGGGAUGCUGAUGGUUCCAUAAUCAAAGUCCUGUGCUGAUUCAUUGCAAUGAUGACUGUUUAGCCCCAGCUGCAGGAAAAAAAAAAAAAGAACAGAACAAAACUAGACCGGGUAUGGUAGCUCACGCCUGUUAAGUCCAGCACUUUGGGAGGCUGAGGCAGGAGGAUCACUUGAGGCCAGGAGUUCGGGACCAGCCCGGGCAACAUAGCAAGCCCUCUAUCUCUACAAACAACAACAACAGCAGCAGCAAAAUCCCACUAAAAUAAUAAAAUGCUCACUGUAAGCACAGAGUACUUCUCUGCCCUACUGACUUGCUCCUCCUACUGAGCAGGCCACGUGACUUGCUCCAACGAAUGGAAUGUGUGCAGAUAUGAAUGUCACAUCCAGCCAGAGGCUUUCAAUGUGGUUGAAGCUGGACUCUUGCCCUCUUGCCUUGCACUUGGAGAAGAAUAUGCGCCAGGAUGCUUCAGUAGAAAGUGGAAAUGCUGUCUCCCGAAUUUGCUGAACAAUGAUGUUCCGAGGAGACCUGCACUUGAGAACAAAAGUGACUACUCUUUUGUCCUAAUCUUAAAUCCCAUCACCUUGGCUGCAACUGCUGAGUGCUGGUAAUGAGUGUUGAGAGGCAAUCCAAGGAUGGUGAUUAGGUAUUAAGCCUGGGCAGGUAUUCACCGAGAGGUGUGUGGACCUUUCGCUCAGCACCACAAGAGCAGAUCUCUGCCAGCAAGCUUAUCUGGCCAUCAGCCAGGGACAGAGCUGCAUUGUGGCAAAGUGAAAUGUGAUUUUAAUGAUUCUGAGCACAUGGUUUCUGCCUCCAGCAUGCUAGAUUUGUAGACUGGCAUUUUUUUUCCCUUGGGUAGAUUCCAGAUGUUGUAUAACUUGUGCCUUUCUAAGUUACAGCAUGGUAGAUGGGGACUUGUCUUUGUUAUGAGCAUGUACAAUGUGGGUCGCAGUUAAGCACUGUCAAAUAGCCUCCUAAAAGAUGAGUUUGUGUGGAAUAAAGCACUGAAAAAGG
rnacentral:lncRNA from 1 species